GACAGAGGAUGCAAGCGUUAUCCGGAAUGAUUGGGCGUAAAGCGUCUGUAGGUGGCUUUUUAAGUCUGCCGUCAAAUCCCAGGGCUUAACCCUGGACAGGCGGUGGAAACUACCAAGCUGGAGUACGGUAGGGGCAGAGGGAAUUUCCGGUGGAGCGGUGAAAUGCGCAGAUAUCAGGAAGAACACCAAUGGCGAAGGCAGCUCUCUGGGACGGUACUGACGCUGAGACGCGAAAGCGUGGGGAGCGAACAGG
rnacentral:rRNA from 1 species